rfam:Ochotona princeps cont2.73937, whole genome shotgun sequence.
GGGAACUGGCUGCUGUUGCCUCCACAUCUGGUCCUCUAGCAUUUGCACUCGUUGGCGCCGUGCAGGAUGAAAUGUCUCAUGCCGCUUCCACAAACAUUUGAGAACUGCUAACACAUUUCCUUCCACUCACUCCACAAGGCUGCUUUUCUUCCACUUAAGCACGCCCAGCUCUCUCAAACCGGGAGGCUGUGAGGGGUAGUGGAAAGAAGGGUAGCCCCUGAGCCAGACACCC